rnacentral:tRNA from 1 species
GCCAAAAUAGCUCAGUUGGUAGAGCAACUGAUUCGUAAUCAGUAGGCCAGGUGUUCGAAUCACCUUUUUGGCA